rnacentral:rRNA from 1 species
UACUUAUCUUACUUACCAAUUAGUGGGGGAUAACCAUGGGAAACCAUGGCUAAUACCGUAUUUGUUACUUCGGUAAUGAAAGGGGGUCGCAAGAUUCUCGCUAAUUGAUAGGGAUAAGUCGUAUUAGUUAGUUGGUGGGGUAAUGGCCUACCAAGACAGUGAUGCGUAGCCAGUCUGAGAGGAUGAAUGGCCACAAGGGAACUGAGACACGGUCCCUACUCCUACGGGAGGCAGCAGUGAGGAAUUUUCGGCAAUGGGGGCAACCCUGACCGAGCAAUACUACGUGAAGGAGGAAGGUCUACGGAUUGUAAACUUCUGUUAGCAGGGAAGAAGGGCUGAAUGUGAGUUCAGUUUUGACGGUACCUGCAGAGAAAGCCACGACUAACUACGUGCCAGCAGUCGCGGUAAGACGUAGGUGGCGAACGUUAUCCGGAAUUAUUGGGCGUAAAGGGUGCGUAGAUGGCCUGACAAGUUAGCAGUGGGAAAUCGAGGCUCAACCUCGUGGAAGCUGGUAAUACUGUCUGGCUCGAGUGCAGGAGAGGUUAACGGAACUCCAUGUGGAGCGGUAAAAUGCGUAGAUAUAUGGAAGAACACCAAUAACGGCGAAGGCAGUUAACUAUUCUGCUACUGACAUUGAGGCACGAAAGCGUGGGGAGCAAAAAGGAUUAGAUACCCUUGUAGUCCACGCCCUAAACGAUGAGUGCUAGGUAUUGGGAACUUGAUUCUCAGUGCCGCUAGUUAACACGGUAAGCACUCCGCCUGGGUAGUACGGUCGCAAGGCUGAAACUCAAAGGAAUUGACGGGGACUCGCACAAGCAGUGGAGCAUGUGGUUUAAUCCGAUACGACGCGUAGAACCUUACCAAGGCUUGACAUGUCCGGCAAAGUUGCUGAAAGGCAAGGGAGGUUAUCCGGACACAGGUGCUGCAUGGCCGUCGUCAGUUCGUGCCGUGAGGUGUAUGGUUAAGUCCUAUAACGAACGUAACCCUUAGGCUUAGUUACCAGCAUUCAGUUGGGGACUCUAAGCCGACUGCCCGAGUAAUCGGGAGGAAGGAAAGGAUGACGUCUGAUCAUC